AACGAACGCUGGCGGCGUGCCUAACACAUGCAAGUCGAACGGGAUUAGGGGGCUUGCUCUUCAAUUUAGUGGCGCACGGGUGAGUAACGCGUGGAUAAUCUGCCUGACGAUCUGGGAUAACAUCUCGAAAGGGGUGCUAAUACCGGAUAAGCCCACGGGAACUUCGGUUUUUGCGGGAAAAGGGGGGGACCUUUUGGCCUUCUGUCGUCAGAUGAGUCCGCGUACCAUUAGCUAGUUGGUAGGGUAAAGGCCUACCAAGGCUACGAUGGUUAGCUGGUUUGAGAGAAUGAUCGGCCACACUGGAACUGAGACACGGUCCAGACUCCUACGGGAGGCAGCAGUGGGGAAUUUUGCGCAAUGGGCGAAAGCCUGACGCAGCAACGCCGCGUGAGUGAUGAAGGCUUUCGGGUCGUAAAGCUCUGUCAGAGGGAAAGAAGUGUAUUGUGGCUAAUAUCCGCGAUACUUGACGGUACCCUCAAAGGAAGCACCGGCUAACUCCGUGCCAGCCGCCGCGGUAAUAC
rnacentral:rRNA from 1 species